AGCUUUCUUAGUCGACCAGAGCGUGCUUCUUGAUUUUCUUGAGCUUCGUUCCCAUUUCCCUCUUUCUCUGUAUAGGAACCACAACAAACCCUAGCCUAAUUUACAAGCCAUAGCCAUGACGAUCCGGCAGCUCUUAACCCUAGCCCGCCGGUCCCGAAACCUAUCCUCAUCCCAUUCACUGCGGCGUCUUUCUUCGGCGUCUGCCGCCGUCGCCGCCACAUCCUCCUCCGCCCCGGCCAUCGGUCCGCCACCCCCAGAUGCAAUGAUCUACGAUCGAUUGGCUGAAGACGUUAAACGAAAGAUCAAGAGACUCGAGAAUCCUGAUUCCCGAUUCCUUCAGUACAACUCGCCACACCCAACUUUAGCCGACCACACAUCAAUCCUCAGCUUCCCCUCUACGCGCGUGACUACACUACCAUCGGGCCUGCGUGUGGCCACGGAGACUAAUCUCGCUGUCAAGACUGCCACCGUUGGGGUAUUCAUUGAUGCAGGGUCAAGGUUUGAGACCGAUGAGACUAAUGGAACAGCUCAUUUUCUUGAGCAUAUGAUCUUUAAGGGUACUGAAAAGAGGACUUCUUGGGAAAUGGAGGAGGAGAUUGAGAAUAUGGGUGGACAUUUGAAUGCAUAUACUUCCAGGGAGCAAACAGCAUACUAUGCUAAAGUGUUGGAUAAUGACGUCCCUGUAGCUUUGGAUAUUUUGGCUGAUAUACUUCAGAAUUCUAAGUUCGAAGAGAAAAAGAUUGAACGUGAACGUGAUGUCAUCCUCAGGGAGAUGGAGGAGGUCGAAGGUCAAACAGAGGAAGUCAUCUUUGACCACUUGCAUUCAACUGCAUUCCAGUACUCACCUUUGGGUAGGACUAUUCUUGGACCUGCCCAGAAUAUAAAGACAAUCACCAGAAGUCAUCUGAAGGACUACAUAUCAACACAUUAUACCGCUCCCAGAAUGGUAAUUGUUGCUUCUGGGCCUGUUAAACAUGAAGAAUUUGUUGAGCAAGUUAAGAAACAGUUUACUAAACUUUCAACCAAUCCGAGUACGGCCUCAGAAUUGGUUGCCAGAGAACCAGCAAUUUUUACAGGUUCAGAGGUUAGGGUAAUUGAUGAUGACAUUCCAUUGGCACAAUUUGCUGUUGCUUUUCAAGGGGCACCGUGGACUGAUCCAGAUGCCAUUCCACUGAUGGUAAUGCAAUCCAUGCUGGGCACUUGGAAUAAAAAUGCCGGAGGAGGGAAACACAUGGGCUCCGAUCUGGCACAAAGUGUUGGCAUUAAUGAACUUGCUGAGAGCCAUGAUGUCUUUUAACACCAACUAUAAGGAUACUGGUUUGUUCCGGCGUGGUAUGCUGUUGCAAAAGCCUGAUUGUUUGAGUGAUUUGUCCUACUGCAUUAUGCGCGAGAUAAGCAAAUUGUGCUACCGGGUUUCGGAUGCUGAUGUGACUCGUGCUUGCAACCAGUUGAAGUCUUCUCUCAUGCUACACAUUGAUGGAACUAGUCCUGUUGCUGAAGACAUUGGGCGUCAGCUACUCACAUAUGGCAGAAGGAUUCCAGCUACAGAGCUGUUUGCAAGGGUUGAUGCUGUGGAUGCUAGCACCAUCAAACGAGUUGCAAACAGAUUUAUCUUUGACCAGGAUGUUGCUAUAUCCGCGCUGGGGCCUAUCCAGACACUACCUGAUUAUAACUGGUUCAGACGCAGAACCUACAUGCUCCGUUAUUAGACGAUUCUUUUUUUUCUUUUUUUGGAGUUGUAAUGCAUCACAAUUACACACCUCGCUCGACCAUUCCAAACUUGGACAUAUAGGUCUUACUUUUCCAAUUCUUCCUCUUGCCUACUUUCUGGUUUUGUAACGGUUUUGUAGCUUUUCCCUAUAAAAUAAGCGGCCUAUAUUUAAUAAUUUGGUUGUUGACGUUUGUUUUCAUAUUCUUUGAAAAAAAUUGUACUCGUACAUGCAAAUUAACAUGGUUUACCCUGUACUUUUUAUAUGAAAUCAAGAAUGCUAUGGACCUCAUUCAAAAA